GACGAACGCUGGCGGCGUGCCUAACACAUGCAAGUCGAGCGAAUGAAGUUCCUUCGGGAAUGGAUUUAGCGGCGGACGGGUGAGUAACACGUGGGCAACCUGCCUCAUAGAGGGGAAUAGCCUUCCGAAAGGGAGGUUAAUACCGCAUAAGAUUGUAGUACCGCAUGAUACAGCAAUUGAAGGAGCAAUCCGCUAUGAGAUGGGCCCGCGGCGCAUUAGCUAGUUGGUGAGGUAACGGCUCACCAAGGCGACGAUGCGUAGCCGACCUGAGAGGGUGAUCGGCCACAUUGGGACUGAGACACGGCCCAGACUCCUACGGGAGGCAGCAGUGGGGAAUAUUGCACAAUGGGGGAAACCCUGAUGCAGCAACGCCGCGUGAGUGAUGACGGCCUUCGGGUUGUAAAGCUCUGUCUUCAGGGACGAUAAUGACGGUACCUGAGGAGGAAGCCACGGCUAACUACGUGCCAGCCGCCGCCGUAA
rnacentral:rRNA from 1 species